rnacentral:rRNA from 1 species
AAUAUUGCACAAUGGGGGAAACCCUGAUGCAGCGACGCCGCGUGAGCGAAGAAGGCCUUCGGGUCGUAAAGCCCUGUCCUAAGGGAAGAAACGGACGGUACCUUAGGAGGAAGCCCCGGCUAACUACGUGCCAGCAGCCGCGGUAAUAAGUAGGGGGCGAGCGUUAUCCGGAAUUAUUGGGCGUAAAGGGUGCGUAGGCGGCCUUUUAAGUCAGAUGUGAAAGGCUACGGGUUAAACGUAGUUAGAAUUUGAAACUAAAAGGCUUGAGUGCAGGGGAGGAGAGUGGAAUUCCUAGGGGAGCGGUGAAAUGCGUAGAUAUUAGGAGGAACACCAGUGGCGAAGGCGACUCUCUGGACUGCAACUGACGCUGAGGAGCGAAAGCAUGGGGAGCGAA